rnacentral:tmRNA from 1 species
GGGGCUGAGUUAGGUUCGACGGGGAGAUCCGCGGUCGGUGUAAGCAGGCGGAGUUGCGAGCUCUCCUAAAACGAUCGCAAGCGUUUUACACGCAAACAAUCAAUACGCACUGGCUGCUUAAUUAGCUAGCCACGGGAUGCGAGAGGUCGCUGGAAUCAGCUCGCAAACCGUCAUGAACUCCAGCUAGGAGGUGGUGGUGAUCUUCAUCAUCGUCCAAAAUUGAAAGGAUCUGCUGCGAACAAAAUCCCGGUUUCGAGGAGACGUUCGUUUAAGAUAAAAUCGAAACUGUAGCCUGAAGAAAGCGCCGGCUCGGCUUUUCGGACUCGGGGGGCAGUUCCCCGACAGCUCCACCA